GAUGAGAUAUGGUUUUACUUCCUUUCUAUCGUUUCCUUAAUCUUUCUUCUUGAGAAGCUGUUUUCACUGAAACAAACAUGGCACAAAGAAUUCCCACCAAGCCCACCUGCAAUUCCCAUAAUAGGCCAUCUGCAUCUCUUGAAAGAACCUCUCCACAGAACGUUACAGGACAUGUCAAAUAAGUAUGGUCCAAUCGUAUCCCUCUCAUUUGGUUCCCGUAAUGUUGUCGUUGUAUCAUCCCCAAGCUUACUUGAAGACUGCUUCCACAAAAACGACAUUGUGUUUGCCAAUAGGCCUCGCCUUGCCGCUUUCAAAUAUACAGGUUAUAACUACACCACCUUGGCUACUUCCUCUUAUGGCGACCACUGGCGCAACCUCCGUCGUAUUGCUGCACUACAAAUUUUCUCAACAAAUAGACUUAACUAUUUCCACAGCAUUAGACAGGACGAAGUUAGAAUCUUGCUUAAAAAUUUAUUUGCAAAUUCGCAAACAAGUUUCACGGAGAUAGAUAUGAAAUCGAGGCUGUCAAGCCUGUCUUUUAACAUUAUAUUGAGGAUGAUAUCAGGGAAGCGAUAUUUUGGGGCAGAAGUGGAAAUUUUGGAGGUGGCUAAACGCUUUGACGACAUUUUAAGAGAGACUGCUGAAGUGAAUGGAGCAUCAAAUCCAGGGGAUUUUUUGCCAUUCCUACAGUGGAUUGAUUUCCAAGGGAUGGAGAAAAGGCUGCUUAGAUUGCAGAAAAAUUGGGACGAAUUUUGCCAAGGUUUGAUUAAUGAGCAUCGAAACAGCAAUAAUUCUUCCUCACAAGAACAAGGACGGUCUAAGACAUUCAUCGAUAAAAUGCUAUAUUUACAAGAAUCUGAACCUGAGAGCUAUUCCGAUGAAAUCAUCAAAGGCUUUAUGCUGGUAUGCUAUCUUAAUUAGCAGACUAUUUAAAUCAGCAUUCCUCUGAUUAAGCAGUGGUUUAUACAAGGAUUAAACAAAAGAACAGAACUUUUUAUUUUUCUUUCUUUCUCUCCUUAUUUUUUUUUUUUUUUUUUUUUUUUUUUUUUUUUANNNNNNNNNNNNNNCACUGACAAUGGAGUGGGCAAUGUCGCUUCUUCUUAACCAUCCUGAGGCGUUAAAGAAGGCUAGAGCUGAGUUAGACAAAAUUAUUGGUCAAGACCGAUUGGUAGACGAGUCCGAUUAUUCCAAGUUACCAUACCUCCAAAGCAUAAUAAAUGAGACACUACGACUAUAUCCAGUAGCACCUCUUCUGCUACCCCAUGAAUCGUCCAAUGACUGCCUCGUUGGAGGCUACUAUGUACCGCGAGGCACAAUGUUGCUGGCCAAUGCUUGGGCUAUUCAUAGGGAUCCAACGGUGUGGAAUGACCCAACAAAAUUUAGGCCUGAGAGAUUUGAAGGUUUAGAUAAAGAUGCACAUAAAUAUAAAUUUAUUCCAUUUGGGCUGGGAAGAAGGGUUUGUCCUGGAAUCCCUCUUGCAAAUAGAGUAAUGGGCUUAGCAUUGGCCGCAUUAAUUCAAUGCUUUGAGUGGGAAAGACCAAGUGAAGAGCAAAUAGAUAUGUCUGAAGGAGAAGGACUUUCUAUGCCUAAAUCACAACCUUUGAAGGCCAUGUGCAGAGCACGUGAGUCCACGAUUAAUAUACUCCGUGACCUAUAAUUACUGUUUGAUUGCAAUUGCUGUAGUAUAAUCGUUGUUGUCCAAAUUAGUUGUCUUAUAGUUUGUUUUCCCCUUUUGUUAGGUUGUUCGUGUGAGGAUUUGGAAUAAAAUCAUAAUAUAGUGUUUAAAAAAUUGAAAUAAUUGUGGUCCAUAUUUAAUUCUUCAAAGCUAUUAUUUUUGCUGUGAUCUUUUGGAGAAGUGAUGUGCUGAUGCUGCUGGGCCAAUAAUUCUGUAGCCGGCCAAGUCUGUCCUUAUUUGUUGUGGUAGCAUCUAUCUAUAUAUGUAAUGACUAAUACGUUGGUGCAUUCCAUGUCACAUUUCUAAAUUUUUUUAUGCAUUAUUUGUCUGAAUAUACUGCCUCAAAACUUUUUUACUGAAUGAAUUAUCAAGGGAAAGAUGAGUUUUGUAAGUUCCAAUUACACAGUUUUAGUUUAGAACCUCUCAGUUUUCUGUGUUUUAAUAUUUUUAUUGAAAGUGUGUCCGAGAUUAAUUAAGAUCUCUAAUUGUCAGAAUUUUGAUUUUAAUUGUAAGAUCACAUGAUUAAAACAUCUAUGUAUUCGAUUAUUUGAGAUUAGGAUACAUUGUAUUUUAUAGCCAAUCUUUCUGAAAUUUUAUUUUGAUGAAACAGGUGGUUAGCUUGUUACUUUCUUUGAUUUUUUUUUUAUUUAUUUCAAUUUUCUUUUCAUGCGAUUUAUCAUAUAAUAGAGGAGGUAUCUACAUAUUAUAAAAAAUAUUAUUCCUUCUUUAUAUUAGAGUCAGCAUCAUUUGAGGCAAGCAGUUUUGUUUUUUGGCAUGUUAGUAAUUUUACAUUUAUCAUGUUUAUCUCUAUUAAGGAUUCAUUUUUUUGCUAUACAUUAUAUUUUAUAAAUGCAAAUCUCCUUAUAAACCUUAUCAAUCUUAGUUAAAGUUUAAAGAGAAAAAGAGAUUAAGGAAAGAUAACCGAAGGUUAGGUCACUUGUUGAACUUAAUCCAGACAAUUUAAUGUUAAUAAUAUAUAUAUUUUUUAUAAUUAUAUAUGGUACACUAAGCCCACUUCAGUCCUUCACAAUAAAUAUGGAAACCCAUUUUAUUCAUUUACUGUGCACAAGCACAUGCUUACAUGCAUACAAGUGCGUGCGUUUGCUAAAUUCAAGUCAAAAUUUGUGCGCCUCCCCAAAAUUGAAGUUACACUCACACCUCACGCUUGUCAAAAGCAACUCAGACAGGAAGACUGAUCUACAGUUACUUAGCUUUGUUAUAAAAACAAAACUUCUGCUCUCGUUCUGCUUCACAGAAUCAUAAAACAGAUAUCAGAAUGAAUGAGAUAUGGUUUUAUUUCCUUUCUACCUUUUCCUUAAUCUUUCUUCUUUCCAAGCUCUUUUCACUCAAACAAACACAGCACAAAAAAAUCCCUCCAAGGCCACCUGCAAUUCCCAUAAUUGGCCAUCUUCAUCUCAUGAAAGAACCUCUCCACAGAACGUUACAGAACAUAACAGAUCAGUAUGGUCCAAUCGUAUCCCUCUCAUUUGGUUCCCGUAAUAUUGUCGUUGUAUCAUCCCCAAAUUUACUUGAAGACUGCUUCCAUAAAAACGACCUUCUGUUUGCCAAUAGGCCU
rnacentral:lncRNA from 1 species